rnacentral:rRNA from 1 species
CAAUAGCGUAUAUUUAAGUUGUUGCAGUUAAAAAGCUCGUAGUUGGAUUUCGGAUGGGAUUUGCCGGUCCGUCGUUACGAUGUGCACUGGCCAGUCCGAUCUUGUUGUCGGGGACUAGCUCCUUGGAUUCACUUCCUGGGACUAGGAGCUGACGAGGUUACUUUGAGUAAAUUAGAGUGUUCAAAGCAAGCCUACGCUCUGAAUACAUUAGCAUGGAAUAACACGAUAGGACUCUGGCUUAUCUUGUUGGUCUGUGAGACCAGAGUAAUGAUUAAGAGGGACAGUCGGGGACAUUCGUAUUUCAUUGUCAGAGGUGAAAUUCUUGGAUUUAUGAAAGACGAACUUCUGCGAAAGCAUUUGUCAAGGAUGUUUNCAUUAA